rnacentral:rRNA from 1 species
AUGGGGGAGCCUAGCAAAGAGCUCCUGGACCUCCCCUCAGGGCCCAAUCCACCCUCCUUCAUCGAAUCGCUGUUCGCGGACAGGGAGCAGCACAAGGGCAAGCGCAAGGCGGGGCCUCCCACCGAUCCACUCCCAAAGAGCCAAGUUCUUGGAAAAGUGAAGGAUUUCUUGGGAGAGAUGGCAAAGGCCAAUGAGAAAUUGCAGCUUGAUGCGCAGAACAAGCCUCCUGAGGAGUAUGACAUUGAAGCACUCACUGGAAAUGAAAAGGAAUAUAUUGAGAUGGAUUUGAUUCUCGGUGUAGCUGAUCUUCAUUCAGAGCAGGCUGUGGAUGCAGCUGAGGCGACAAUGAGCAGCUUCCCACCCUCGGGAGGUUCAUUUGCUAGUAGCUCAUCUGACUCAGAAGAUGAUAGCGAUGAAGAUGGUGACGAUGAGCCUGAAAUGCCUAGCAAAGAAAAAUGUGCCAAUCCAGGUAAACCGGAGUCUAAUCCAGCCAAAGGGAAGAAGCCCAAUAAAAGACAGAAGAUUGUUGUUCUCAACUAG